UCUAACUUUUCACCAAGAUCAUCAUCCUUCUCAUUUUUUUCACCAAACAUUAAGUUUUCCCUCAAAUUUUCAAACACCAAAUAUUUCCAGACAUAUUUAUUUUUCUCUCUCUUAUUUCACCCAAAUAUAUUCAUACAUAAAAAUUUCUCUCUUUAUUUUCCUAGUUCUCAUCGACCACUCUCUCGGAGAGAACCGAACACUUUCUCUCAGAAACAAACCCUUACGCAAAAUUUCCAGAAUCAAAACCCUUUUCUCGCAAUGAAACCACAAAUCGAAACCUGAAUUUCAGUAGCCACAACAUAGAAAUCUCGAUCUAUUCUCAAAACCUAGAAAUCUCGAUCAUUUAGAACCUUAAAAAAUUCGUAAACCUAGAAUGCAAAAUCAAUUUUGUUAUUGAAAUGUGAAACCAAUUCUCUGAUAGUUGAUUAUCAUCAAGUAUACACCAUUAUUUACUAGUUCUGUUGUUUAAUUUUAUGUUGUUGACCUAAAUCUGUGAAGUUCAAGUCUUAUUACAUGUACAGAUUUUGGUGAUUUGAAGUUAGAUUCUAUUCUUUCGCUGUUUUUUUUUUUUUUUUGUAUUAUGUAGAAUUUCAAGGCAUGGGUGUGUUUUGCUUUCUGAUUUGUGAGCUAUUUUUAGGGUUAAAUUGUUUUUUAGAUAUCAAUCUCUUGCUGCGUGAUUUCAAAAUGUCACUUGUUUGAUUUGAUUUGUUACUGCUGGAUAUAGUCUGAAUUCUGUUAGCCGAAGUUGAUCAGUUUGAUUUAUUUUAUCGUAUAGUUUUAUGGUUCAGAGAUCCAAGAUGUGAAAGCUUUCAUGUAUGAAUUUGUCAUCCAAAAAGCCUCAAAUCCAUCUUCUGAAUGAACUGUUCCUGGUCAUUUUUUGAUGCUUCAUUAGCACAAUUUAACUGAAUUUCGUUGAUGAAUUUAUGGGUCAGUAUACCAUGAUUUAAUAAUGCCAUCCUUGAUAGCAUCUGGUUCAACUCUAAUGACUCUUUUUGUAAAGCUUGGAUCUCAUUUGGAGUAUAUUGAAGUUUUGAUUUGAACCUCCUCUUGACCUCUGCUUUCUGAAUCAUAUAAUUGAGGUAAACUGAACAUGUUUCUUUUUUAUGCAGUUAUCCAUAGUGGAUAGAUGGGAAUUCAUUAGGUUUGAACUUUUGUCAUAGGUCAUAUGCAUUAUAUGUUCUUCAUGUAGGAAUUAUUUUGGGAUGACAUCUCUAGUUUCUUGAUCUUAUUACUUGUCCUUAGGAAUUAUUAUCGAUUUUUCUCUAAAUUGUAAUUGCGACAAAUUUUAUGUGAACCACAACAUCAGAUUUUUGGUGUGUCUUGAAAUGGGAGGGAUUUGAAGGGUCAUGUCUUGUGCAUCACAUGUUAUCGUUAUGAUUCACUAAGCAGGUGAAGUAAGAUUGUGCACAUUUUUGACAACUCCUCCCUUGAUUGUUUGUUUUCCUUGCUGGUACGUGUGCAUUUGCUGUAUUAAACAAGAGGUUUCCUCUUAGUCGUCAUAUUUCAUAAUGCCUCUUAGGUUAUGGGGUCACAUUUAACAAUCCCAUAUGAAUACUAUACGUCGCUUUUAUACCAUUCAUACUUUGCUUUCCUGAAAAUGUUGAGGUGAUAUCUAAUUUACCAUUUCCUUAUUUUAUCUAUCAUCUGUAACUGAUGACGUUGAUAUGUAGAUUCCCGCUAGGUUGUACUCAUGUCGAUGUCCUUUUUGGUGCCAGGUGAAUCUGCUACAGCUAAGAACGGAACAGGGGAAGGAGAGUACUACGUCUGGCACGAAUGGCAAAUUCUAAAGUAUGAUUUCUGUUUUGGUGCAUGUUUCGUAGAGUAAAAUUGUUGUUCUAAGGACUUGAAAGGUCGGGUAACCUGUUCAGCUUUUUCUUAGCUGCUAUAGUUAUCAAUAAUUGUAUAAGAUUGUAUGUUCAACUUCUUGUUGUCUUAUUGUUGGCUGCUUAUUACUUAGGUAUCGAUGUAUGGUGCACGAAACUUGUUCAUCACAGAGAGGGUUUGUUGCUCUCAAUUUGCUUAUAAUUCAGUUUCUCGCUAUGCAUUCAGUUUGGUUAGGAUUCAGUUUACUGGUCAUUUCAUAAGAAUGAUUUUUUUUUGUUUUGUUGUGAACUAUAGGCUAUAAAUAGUGCAUCAGUUUUAUAAUCUCGCAUGUCUUCCUGUCUUCAUUAUUAUAGAAUGUCUCAGCAGAUUGAGAAAGGUUGGAUGUUUGAAGGUAGGUUUAGUCAUUUGUAUAGAGUAGGAGUAGAUACUUUUAUUUCCUUUGCAUAUAAGAACAAAACUGGAGAGUCGGAAUAUUGUCAUUGUCCUUGCCGUGUUUUUCGUAAUGCAAAAUCUAAGAAGUUUAAACGAGUAAGGCAUGAUUUGAAAGUGAACGGCGUGCUAAUUACAUAUGUACAUUGGUCACUACAUGGAGAGAAGCCGACACCACCCUCAAAGGUAGUUGCCGCAAAUGUAGAGCAAUUUGUUCAAGAAGAAACUUCAGUGGAGCCUGUGGAGGAACAUGUAGCAGUGGACAGUAGAGAUGAUGGGUGCAGGUUGGGUGAUUUUGUUGACAAUGCAUUUGGGGUAUUUGAAGGGUUAAACGAGCAUGAGAAUGUAGGUGAUUCUGAACAUCCCUUUAUUCGGGAUCCUAGCUUAGGUAAAAAGCACGACAAGUAUAAGAAGUUAGCAUAGGAGAAGAUAUAUCCGUCAUGUGAGAAUGGUCAUACAACUCUUUCUAUCAUAACAGAGUUGCAUCAUGUAAAGAAGACUUUUGGUUGGUCAGGGAAUAAUGUAACUUACCUCUUGGGAUUACUUAGAAAAUGGUUUCCAUAGGGAAAUACUUUUCCUGAAAAAUACCCGAUAAUGAAGAAGAUGUUGAGAGAUCUGGGAAUGGAGGCUGAAAAUAUACAUGUUUGCAUUAACCAUCGUGUGAUGUUCUGGAAACACCUUGAGAAUGCAAUAGAAUGUCCGACUUGUGGAGCAUCUAGGUACAAAGUUAAAGUGGGGAAAGAUGGAAUAUCAAGGCCAACAAAAGAGCCAGAGAAAGUGUCGCGUCAUUUUCCGCUCGAUGAAAGACUUAAGAAGUAUUAUACUGUACCAUGGAUCUCUGAAGACAUGACUUGGCAUGAUAGAGCGAAAGCGUCCUACAAUUGUAUGCGUCAUCCAAUAGACUUUGUGCAGUGGCAGAAUACGAAGGAAAGGUGGACCGAGUUUGCAAGUGAAGCGCGUAAUGUGUGGCUUGGCAUCUCAACAUGAUGGAUUUAAUCCUCGCGACAUCCAGUCUACCGGUUAUAGUUUCUGGCCAGUUAUAUUGGUAAUGUAUAAUUUGCCACCAUCACUAUGUAUGAAGGUAGAGUUUCAGAUCAUGUCGUUGUUGAUACCAGGGCCUCUAAAGCACCGGGACAAGACAUCUGUAUUUUUCUUCAAGUAUUAAUAGAUGACCUGCAACAACUUUGGGAGGGUGUUGAUGCAUAUGAUAUGCAUUUAAAAGAGGCAUUCAAGUUGAGAGCAAUUUUUAUGUGGGGUAUUCAUGAUUUACCUGCAUAUGGAAAUAUUUCUGGAUGUGUAGACAAAGCGUGUCCUGGUUGUGCAGAUGAGACGGAAAGUAAUUGGUUACCUUACUCCCGCAAGAUUGUGUAUAGAAAUUUCUGAAGAUUUCUGAAGACGAAUCAUCCUUUCAGGUCAGGCAAGUAUACGAGACUCCAAACAAAAGAGAAGGGAUUUGCACCAGUUCGAUUAACUGGACAAGAAGUAAUGGCAAAGACCAGUCAUGUUCAAUAUGUUCCUGGUAAGUUUUCCAAAGACGGUAAGAAGAGAAAGAGAGAUUUUUAUGAAGUUUAUUGCGAUGAUAUUGAUUCACCAACUAAAGCGUUUUACAAAAGGUCGAGGCUGCUGGAUAUUCCAACAUGGGUUUAUAAUGAAUAUCUUCAUUGUAUUGAUGUAAUGCACGUUGAGAAAAAUGUUACUGAACAUCUUGCAGAUGCUUUUCUUGACUUAAGAAGAAAUCGAAAGAUAAUGUGUGUGCUAGGAAAAUUAUGGAGGCUCUGAAUAUUCAGAGAGGUCAUGGAUUACUGAAGAUUCUGAAAUUGGUAAAGACAUCGUACCUGACGCUCUUUAUAUUUUGAGCAAGAAGGAGAGAAAUGACUUUUUGAAGAUAUUGAAAGACAUGAAGUUUCCAACUGGAUUUUCCUCAAAUCUUGGAAACAAUGUCACUCUUCAACCUCCCGGACUGCAUUGUUUGAAGUCACAUAAGUUUCAUAUUAUUAAAGAAUAUUUGCUGCCAGUUCUGCCACAACAUGCUUUCCCGCGCUACCCAGAUCUUCGGAGGGCUCUUCAACAAAUCAGUUUGUUCUUUAGAAUACUCUACCCGAAAGUUCUGAUCAAAAGUGAACUUCAACAUGCCAAAUAUAUGGUGGUCGAGGCAUUGUGUGUUAUGGAAAAGUAUUUUCCGCCUUCUUUUUUCGUUAUCAGCAUCCAUCUGGUGGUGCAUCUUGCUGAUGAAGCUCCAGCUUGUGGACCAGUUAGAUUCCGAUGGAUGCAUCCAUUUGAAAAGUAAUUUUUUGCUAUUUUGAAGCUAGGCAUAGGCCCGUCCUGCCCCUGGCAUCGUAGCCACCGGUUUACUCCCCACUGAGCAAACUCGGCCCUCUUAAACCCAUGGUAAAGUUAGUAUAAUUUACAUUUGAAAGGUAAUUACUUUAAAGUAUUUUGACAUUGGAGCAUGAACUGAACCAAGUUUUAACUUAGUUAUUGGUAAUCGACAAUACUAUAAUCUAUAGACAGCGGCUAAAUAGUUUCAU